GGGGCGAGGCCCAGGCUCGGCAGGGAGGCGGGGGCGGCCCGAGGUGACAGGACCUGCGGGCCCGGGGUGGGGACAGCGGCGCCGGUGUUGGGUCAGCCACGAUCCGGCUGCAAGACGCAGAGCGCUAGCGCUGGAACAGGGUGGAAGCGAUCGGGACGGAUCAGCGAAAAUCUUGGGAAGAAAACACGGCAAAGGUGACUGCAGGAAUCUACUGCCCCCCCCCCCCCAAAUUUGCAAGACAGAAGCAGAAUACUGGGAAAGUACUACUUUAACCCAAAAGAAUGACUUUACUAGUGGAAGAAUUUCUGUAACCUGCCAUUUGAACCGGGGAAGGUCUUUUGAGGCCAGAUUCUUCUCAAGGAUGUUCAAAUCAGACAAACAUCCACUUGGUAAACGUAGAAAGAAACGGACUUCUAGUAUCAGAUGACACGAGUGAGGGAAGAAAACCAGGUCAGCCACUGCAGUCUGUCUUCCAGGUAUACUUUUGAAGAAUAAGUGUCUUCAUCUCUAGGAAUGGAAAGCACUGAUCAUUUGACAGAUAAGGAGUGUGCAUCCUGAAAAACUACCCAAUCACAACAGUGUUUCUUGGUUCCCUGCAGCCCCAACAAAUGAAUCAUUGUGUCAGUCAAGUCAUAUUCAAGGGAAAAAUUAAUUGUAAAAUAUUUUUCACUGUUUUGGCUGGUUUAAUAGAAUUUAUCCAAGAGGCUUCUCUCUUCUCAGGCUAAAUUAUCUAAGCUUAUUGACAACUGUUCUGUAAUACAGAGCAUUAAUUUAUGAACCUGGAAAAUAACUUGGAAGAAAGAUAUGGCAAGUCAAUAUUGCUAUCACUCAAAUAACUAUUAAUAUUUACUGAAGGUCUUCUAUAUGAAGUGUUGCUGGAUAGAAGCAUCAUUCCUGACGACAAAUAUCUUACAGCCAUUCUGACUAUUCAUUUUUCUUGAAACUAUUCAUAGUUUAAGUUUGCUUUUUUUUUCUCUUAUCAAGCCAUUUGGAUGAGGCCCAAGCACCUUACCCUAAAUAUGAGAAACUCACUAAUGUCAUAGAGGAUGAAAUUAACAUCAACAAGAUUGGAUAGUUGAGCAUUUCCUAAGAAAGCCUUUAGGAUGAGCUUUGGCUUGUCCCUGAAGGUUGCACGAAAUAGAGCCUUGCAGCCAUGCGUAGUUCGUGUCGCAGUGAAUGUGGUGUAUUAAUACAGGAUUUUCCUUAAUCCUAGCAGAAGCAUCUGCAUUGUGCUGCCUGAUUUUUCUCUCUCAUUUUUACCAAAUAAGCCCAUACUUUUAGCAUAUUCCAAAAUAGUACUGUUUGUAUUUCUAAGUUUUAUGGCUACCAUUUAGAUACAGGAGAACUUCUAAGUGGCAUUUAACUUUCUAUUGGCCUUUGGCACUUUGUUUUCAUUCUGCGUGUAAGCAAACGCUCAGUGAAAUCAGCCAUUAUAUUUACCUCUAGGGUGUGGAGCAACAAACUGUUCUUACUUUAUACUUAUAAAAUACUAUAUGUAGGACCUCAUCUUGUAGAUACUAUAGCUGAUUUUGUUUCCCUUUUCCCAAUGGCUUUUGAAAGCCUAGAUAAAAAUGUAUGUGCCAUCUGUACAGAAUCACAUUGCGUGCAUUUUGAGACGUAACCUCAUUUCAAGGUUCAUUUUCAUUUUGCUAUGUCAUUUUCCCAUUGUACUCAUUUUCUUACCUACUUAAAAAAAAAGCUUGCUUUUAUCUUCACGAAUGCAAUAAAUACACACUAUGUAAGACAUGUAAAAUGCAUAUCAGAAAAAAGAAAACAGGAGUUCCUGCUCCGGUGCAGUGGGUGAAGCAUCUGACUGUAGAGGCUUGGGUCACUGUGGAGGUGCGGGUUCGAU